CAGUCGCCGCGGUAAUACGGAGGGUGCAAGCGUUAAUCGGAAUUACUGGGCGUAAAGCGCACGCAGGCGGUCUGACAAGUCAGAUGUGAAAUCCCCGGGCUUAACCUGGGAACUGCAUUUGAAACUGUCAGGCUGGAGUCUUGUAGAGGGGGGUGGAAUUCCAGGUGUAGCGGUGAAAUGCGUAGAGAUCUGGAGGAAUACCGGUGGCGAAGGCGGCCCCCUGGACAAAGACUGACGCUCAGGUGCGAAAGCGUGGGGAGCAAACAGGAUUAGAUACCCCGGUAGUCCCUGUCUCUUACAC
rnacentral:rRNA from 1 species